AUCUCUGUAGAGUCUGCAUAUCAAUAAGCGGAGGAAAAGAAACUAACAAGGAUUCCCUUAGUAACGGCGAGUGAAGCGGGAAGAGCUCAAAUUUGAAAUCUUCAAGGUUUUACCUUGACGAAUUGUAGUUUAAAGAAGUGUUUUCUGUUGGAAUUUUGGUAAAAGUUCUUUGGAAAAGGACAUCAAAGAGGGUGAGAAUCCCGUAUUUGACCAUUAUUUCCAACUUUGUGAUACACUUUCAAAGAGUCGGAUUGUUUGGGAAUGCAGUCCAAAAUGGGUGGUAAAUUUCAUCUAAAGCUAAAUACUGGCGAGAGACCGAUAGCGAACAAGUACCGUGAGGGAAAGAUGAAAAGAACUUUGAAAAGAGAGUUAAACAGUACGUGAAAUUGUCAAAAGGGAAGCGUUUGACACCAGUGUUGUUUUCUCGAAAAUCAAUUAAAAAUGGCCGGAUUUUGUGUUGUAUUGACUUUAUCAGCUUUCUGCACCUUUUUUCUUGUCUUUUUUAAUGCACUUUUCGUUUAACAAGUCAACAUCAAUUUCUUUUGCUGUAAAAGGGUCAUUGGAAGGUGGCUUUCUUUUCGGAGAAAGUGUUUAUAGCCUUGUGCCUCUGCAAUCGGAGAGAUUGAGGUCUGCAGCGUAGAUCCUUCGGGGUUAGAUAGCAUUUGUGCUAAGUUAUAGCCUUUCAUAGACAACUUGUUGACUAUGAUCAGUCAUGUAGCUUACUCGCUUAUGCUAUUUUACCUACGCUUAGGAUGUUGAGUAGCGACAUACGCAC
rnacentral:rRNA from 1 species